AGUGAACGCUGGCGGUAGGCCUAACACAUGCAAGUCGAACGGCAGCACAGUAAGAGCUUGCUCUUACGGGUGGCGAGUGGCGGACGGGUGAGGAAUACAUCGGAAUCUACUUUUUCGUGGGGGAUAACGUAGGGAAACUUACGCUAAUACCGCAUACGACCUACGGGUGAAAGCAGGGGAUCUUCGGACCUUGCGCGAUUGAAUGAGCCGAUGUCGGAUUAGCUAGUUGGCGGGGUAAGGCCCACCAAGGCGACGAUCCGUAGCUGGUCUGAGAGGAUGAUCAGCCACACUGGAACUGAGACACGGUCCAGACGCCUACGGGAGGCAGCAGUGGGGAAUAUUGGACAAUGGGCGCAAGCCUGAUCCAGCCAUACCGCGUGGGUGAAGAAGGCCUUCGGGUUGUAAAGCCCUUUUGUUGGGAAAGAAAAGCAGCAGGUUAAUACCCCGCUGUUCUGACGGUACCCAAAGAAUAAGCACCGGCUAACUUCGU
rnacentral:rRNA from 1 species